rnacentral:tRNA from 1 species
GGGGCGGUGGGAUGGGUUCCCAGGCCGGCCUUUACACCCUGGCCCUAGAGGGUUCGAAUCCCUCCCGCUCCA